CUGGAGCCGAGCUUCCUGAUACCUAGUGAGCCGCGGUGAUGACAAAUGAAAACAAUAAGCUGUUUCCUAGACAAACAGCUGCCUAGUGGAAAUGAUUCUCAAAAAGAUGAAGAAAUUCAGUCUUCUAUAUGGCGAAUUUCUGCCUCAGAGAGUGAGAUUUGUUCAUUGCAAAGAGCAGCUGUUCCCUUAACCCUUAUCAAUGCUUAAGAUGGAAGAUGUUGCUUCUCAUUCCAUUAGAGUUGCCCAGUUUCGCUCUGUCGCCCAGGCUGGAGUGCAGUGGCACAAUCUCGGUUCACUGCAACCUCUGCCUCCCGGGUUCAAGCAGUUCUCUUGCCUCAGCCUCCCAAGUAACUGGUACUACAGUUUGUCCUCGGCUGUUACAGAGAAUUGAUACAAAAAAUGAUCAUGUGAAGAAUUUGCAUCUUCUGCAGAACUACCGGUAUCAGUCAGCAGUAGGAGAUUGCCAGACACGGUGGCUCACGCCUAUAAUCCUAGCACUUUGGGAGGCUGAGGUGUGUGGAUCACUUGAGCCCAGGAGUUCAAGACCAGCCUGAGCAACAUGGUGAAACCCCAUCUCUGCAAAAAAUACAAAAAUUAGCCAGGCGUGGUGGUGUGUACCUGUGGUCCCAGCUGCUGGGAAGGCUGAGGUGGGAGGAACAUUUGAGCCCAGAAGUUGAGCCGUGAUCACGCCACUGCACUCCAGCCUGGAUGACACAGCAAGACCUUGUCUCAAAAAAUAAAAUAAAAUAAAUUUUAAAAAA
rnacentral:lncRNA from 1 species